GUGUGUGACUGAUGUGCGCGGCGGCAGGGACGCGUGCUGUGCGCCACGGAGAGUGUGUGUGUGUGUACGUGUGUGUGCGUGUGCCUGUGUGUGGGAGUGUGUGUAUGUAUGUGUGUGAGAGCCGCGGUGAACAGUGUGUGUGGUGGUGGUGGGCCGCGUGUGUGUGUGUGUGAGUGUGUGUGUGUGCCCGCGUGUGCUGCUGCUGCUGCUACUGCCGCCUUGGUUGUGGUGCUGCCUGGAGGCUUGUGCUGUGAAGAGGCUGCAGGAGGAGUACGGCGCCCACACCCGGUCACGGCGGGGCGGAUCAGCUAGCCACGCACAAUAAUCUUGAGUUAUUGACUUGUUGUGUCUACGCCAAAGGCAGCAACCCCUAACCCCCGCCACCGGGUCCCGCGGGCCAGGCGCCUCACGCUGUCACAAACCAAAACAAUGGCUCGUGACCUUGAGCCACAAGCUUCGAGCCACUGAAGAUCCGCUCGACCCCUCGACCACCUCACCGCCACGCUUCCAUCCAUCUCUCAGGAACACAGACGCCCCUCCCUCACACCUCCCGCCGGCGCCUCACGACUCUGAUGCCACGGCGCGGCCACACACUGCCUGGUGACACCUUCCCGACACCGCCUCAUACCUCGGGUGACACCGUAACAUCCGUGGUCCUCAUAUCGAGCGUCCCCCUCAUUGCCGCCCUCCUCACUGUCACAAGAAAUCAGUGUGCAAACAAAGAUGAGUCAGCCUCGCUACACUAAACUGUCCUCUGCCUCCGCCUUGAGGGUGAGCCAGCCGCCCCUCUGAGGCGCGGUGAGGUGUGAACUAAACGGAGGACGGAGCAGCGCUGACCCGAGGUGUUGACGGGAUGAGUGGCAGCUUUAGUGACCUAAUAAUCCGGCAGUGGUGGUGACCCGUGUGGUGUACACUGGCUGCUGACCGCAUGGAGACGGGGCGCGCGACGCCCCCUGGGUUGUCAUGGCGACGCCUGUAAACAGUGUGCCAGUGUUCGGAUUCGAUGCUGCCCUGGACACGAUUAGAGAGUAAUAUUGGCAAUUGUUCCCAUGCAGACCCUCCGAAGAGUAUUAAGUGCCUCAAGACAACUGGAGCCAUGUGUCACGUCAGGCCUCGUGGCCCGGGCCUGCCUGGGGCCCUAGACACCCGCCAGCAGUAAGCCACCCCGAGGUCCUCGCCCAAGCCUCCGCUGUUGCGGGAGGCGGCGGGUGCUGGUGACCAUGGCGAGUCUCACUCCUCUCCUCUUCACCAAACGCAUGUGUCCUCCGGGCCGCGACCCUUCGAGGGAUCCUGGAGUCAGCACGCCGCUCCAGGUGAUGUCCUCGGAGGAUGGCGCGUCCAUCUCGUCCGUGGAAUUGACGCUGCCCCACAUCGCAAGGGAGGUGCUGCGGCGCAAGGCCCUGGGACACGGCCACGUCGAGGUGAGUACCCCAGCUGGACAUUCGAGUACUCUUGUCACAUGCUUCCCUUUAUGUGUCUCCAUUCUCUUUACGACGCCAACACCC